rnacentral:rRNA from 1 species
GACGAACCGAGCGAACGUUGUUCGGAAUCACUGGGCUUAAAGGGCGCGUAGCGGGCUGCCAAGUUUGGGGUGAAAUCCUCCGGCUCAACCGGAGCAGUGCCUCGAAUACUGGCGGUCUCGAGGGAGGUAGGGGCGUGCGGAACUGUGGGCGGAGCGGUGAAAUGCGUUGAUAUCCACAGGAACUCCGGUGGCGAAGGCGGCACGCUGGACCUUUUCUGACGCUGAGGCGCGAAAGCCAGGGGAGCGAACGGG